rnacentral:rRNA from 1 species
ACAGGGAUUGCCCUAGUAACGGCGAGUGAAGCGGCAACAGCUCAAAUUUGAAAUCUGGCCUCGGCCCGAGUUGUAAUUUGCAGAGGAUGCUUCUGGCGCGGUGCCCUCCGAGUUCCCUGGAACGGGACGCCACAGAGGGUGAGAGCCCCGUAUGGUCGGACACCAAGCCUGUGUGAAGCUCCUUCGACGAGUCGAGUAGUUUGGGAAUGCUGCUCUAAAUGGGAGGUAAAUCUCUUCUAAAGCUAAAUACCGGCCAGAGACCGAUAGCGCACAAGUAGAGUGAUCGAAAGAUGAAAAGCACCUUGAAAAGGGGGUUAAAUAGUACGUGAAAUUGUUGAAAGGGAAGCACUUGUGACCAGACUUGGGCCGGGCGGCUCAUCAGGGGUUCUCCCCUGUGCACUCCGCCCGGCACAGGCCAGCAUCGGUCUUCGCGGGGGGACAAGACCGCCGGGAACGUAGCACCCUCCGGGGUGUGUUAUAGCCCGGCGGACGAUACCCCCGCGGGGACCGAGGUCCGCGCUCCGCAAGGAUGCUGGCGUAAUGGUCACCAGUGACCCGUCUUGAAACACGGACCAAGGAGUCGUCCAUUAGAGCGAGCGUUUGGGUGUCAAACCCGCACGCGUAAUGAAAGUGAACGCAGGUGAGAGCUUCGGCGCAUCAUCGACCGAUCCUGAUGUUCUCGGAAGGAUUUGAGUAAGAGUUUUAACGGACGGACCCGAAAGACAGUGAACUAUGCUUGUAUAGGGUGAAGCCAGAGGAAACUCUGGUGGAGGCUCGCAGCGGUUCUGACGUGCAAAUCGAUCGUCAAAUAUGAGCAUGGGGGCGAAAGACUAAUCGAACUGUCUAGUAGCUGGUUACCGCCGAAGUUUCCCUCAGGAUAGCAGUGUUGAUCUUCAGUUUUAUGAGGUAAAGCGAAUGAUUAGGGACUCGGGGGCUAUAUAUUGCCUUCAUCCAUUCUCAAACUUUAAAUAUGUAAGAAGCCCUUGUUACUUAGUUGAACGUGGGCAUUCGAAUGUACCAACACUAGUGGGCCAUUUUUGGUAAGCAGAACUGGCGAUGCGGGAUGAACCGAACGCGGGGUUAAGGCGCCAGAGUGUACGCUCAUCAGACACCACAAAAGGCGUUAGUACAUCUUGACAGCAGGACGGUGGCCAUGGAAGUCGGAAUCCGCUAAGGACUGUGUAACAACUCACCUGCCGAAUGUACUAGCCCUGAAAAUGGAUGGCGCUCAAGCGUACCGCCCAUACCCCGCCCCCAGGGUAGAAACGAUGCCCUGGGGAGUAGGCGGCCGUGGGGGUCAGUGACGAAGCCUAGG